rnacentral:misc_RNA from 1 species
GUUGAAGAACGCAGCGAAAUGCGAUAAGUAAUGUGAAUUGCAGAAUUCAGUGAAUCAUCGAAUCUUUGAACGCACAUUGCGCCCCUUGGUAUUCCGGGGGGCAUGCCUGUUCGAGCGUCAUUUCAACCCUCAAGCUUCUGCUUGGUCUUGGGCCGUGCCGGCAACGGCUGGCCUUAAAACUAGUGGCGGUGCCAUCGAGCUCUACGCGUAGUAAUUCUAUCUCGCGUCUGGGCUUCGGUGGACGCUGGCCAGCAACCCCCAAUUUUCUAUGGUUGACCUCGGAUCAGGUAGGGAUACCCGCUGAACUUAAGCAUAUCAAUAAGCGGAGGA